GCAGUUUGCAUUGUGUUGAGUGCAUUGAGUGUUCGUGAUCUGUGUAGCUUGAUUUUUAUUUACAACAGAAAUGUCCUUCAGAUUGUGGGAGGAAGCGAUGCGGACAAGUUGUCAAGAAGGUGUUUAUCUAAAAUAUUUAAUGAUGAUUUGGCAGCACAAUGCUCAUGGACAGGGUUAAAAGGAAAUUUUAAAAUUCAGGGAUUGAUAACCAUUGAAGAAAUAAGGAGUACUGUGAGAAGAGUAUUCCCUGCUACUUCUGACUUUGAAUUUGAACGAAUAGUAAAGGAUUUUUUUCCGCUACGGGGAGCAGAGGAAAAAAAGAAAAUCCAUAAACCAUGUAUAUAUAAACCAUAGUUGUCACUAAUUUUUUGUUUUCGGGUUGGUUUUAAAAAUACAGAAUAUAGGAAAUGAUUUAAGUGUCAAAAUAUUAUAGCAAGGAUUAUCACUAAAUUGUAUUCACUUUAAAAAGAUAUUUUUUAUAAAUUUAGUUAUCAACAAUAAGCUAUUGAGAAACAUUUAUUUCAAAAUACUGGGUUUUCCAUGUCAUCUAACUAAUAAGAAUUAACGUGAGGUUAUUACAUUUCAUAAUUUUUAAUUGAAAUGCCCAAAACACACUAUGAGAAAUAUUGCUAACGGAACCAAUAGAACUGAGUGCCUAAUACUUGUGAGAACCAAAAUACUGCAGCAAAACACAUUGUAAUUAAAAUAUCAGUAAAAAUUUGUCUCAGAUAGAUGAGUAGACAGUUUAUAUAGUUGUCUCAAACGCGCAACAAGCGGGUAUGUGUAAUGGCUUCUCAAGCUGAUGAAGUACAAAGUUUGACUAGUUUGACCGUCACACGAGCUUUUUAUAAUAAUGUGGUGUGUUGGCAACAAAGCAGGAAACGUAGCUGCGUCAGCGGAAGCGGUCACGUGGUACCGGCGAUGAAGGACAGCCUUCGUCCUUACGCGUGAAGUUGGUCGUUGCCUCGCCUGGGAUUAAGCCGGACCAUUUCCGUGUCUGCGGUUAAUGUUAAUGUGUUAUAUGAACUUUGUA